rnacentral:rRNA from 1 species
AUGUCAGCAGCCGCGGUAAGACGGAGGGUGCAAGCGUUGUUCGGAAUUACUAGGCGUAAAGAGCGUGUAGGUGGUUAGCUAAGUCGGAUGUGAAAAUUCCGAGCUCAACUCGGAACCUGCAUUCGAAACUGGUUAACUUGAGUGUGGGAGAGGAGAGUGGAAUUCCUAGUGUAGCGGUGAAAUGCGUAGAUAUUAGGAAGAACACCAGUGGCGAAGGCGACUCUCUGGCCUAAAACUGACACUGAGACGCGAAAGCGUGGGGAGCGAACAGGAUUAGAUACCCUGGUAGUCCACGCUGUAAACGAUGGGCAUUAGGUGUAGGAGGUAUCCAAUCCUUCUGUGCCGAAGCUAACGCAUUAAAUGCCCCGCCUGGGGAGUACGGUCGCAAGGCUGAAACUCAAAUGAAUUGACGGGG